rnacentral:lncRNA from 1 species
AUGCCACUGGAGUCAUCUUCCCUUUCAACGCCACUAUCUUUCCCUUCUCUUUUACCCUCAGUACCAGACGAUAUUAGUUCUUCCCCUUCUCCAAUGUCUUACAUCACUUCCCAGGAGAUGAAGUGUAUUCUUCACUGAUUUGCCAAUUAGUCAGGUCCCCAGUGUGAACGUUUCCUGGAGGACCUGGUAGCUAAGGCAGUGCCAGGAAAAGUACAGCCACUGCCAAAUAGUCUGGUGCAGCUUAGUGUGUCCGGGGCAAAUGGACCACCUUGUAUCUUUGAGUGCCAGCUAUGUCUUUGGGAUCAGUGGUCUCAAGGCUGGGCUGAGCAGGAGUGCAAUGCACUUGUCAGGCAGCUGGAGUUCCAUGAGCCAGACUUCGUGGCAAAGUUUGACCAAGCAGUGGCUGCUACAGCUGGUAAGGACUGA